GACGAACGCUGGCGGCGUGCCUAACACAUGCAAGUCGAACGGAAAGGCCCUGCUUUUGUGGGGUGCUCGAGUGGCGAACGGGUGAGUAACACGUGAGUAACCUGCCCUUGACUUUGGGAUAACUUCAGGAAACUGGGGCUAAUACCGGAUAGGAGCUCCUGCUGCAUGGUGGGGGUUGGAAAGUUUCGGCGGUUGGGGAUGGACUCGCGGCUUAUCAGCUUGUUGGUGGGGUAGUGGCUUACCAAGGCUUUGACGGGUAGCCGGCCUGAGAGGGUGACCGGCCACAUUGGGACUGAGAUACGGCCCAGACUCCUACGGGAGGCAGCAGUGGGGAAUAUUGCACAAUGGGCGGAAGCCUGAUGCAGCAACGCCGCGUGCGGGAUGACGGCCUUCGGGUUUUAAACCGCUUUCGCCUGGGACGAAGCGUGAGUGAGGGUAAUGGGUAAAGAAGCACCGGCUAACUACGUG
rnacentral:rRNA from 1 species